UAGGGGGCAAGCGUUAUCCGGAUUUACUGGGUGUAAAGGGAGCGUAGACGGUACAGCAAGUCUGAUGUGAAAGGUCGGGGCCCAACCCCGGGACUGCAUUGGAAACUGUUGGACUGGAGUACAGGAGAGGUAAGCGGAAUUCCUAGUGUAGCGGUGAAAUGCGUAGAUAUUAGGAGGAACACCAGUGGCGAAGGCGGCUUACUGGACUGUAACUGACGUUGAGGCUCGAAAGCGUGGGGAGCAAA
rnacentral:rRNA from 1 species